GACGUAGGAUGCGAGCGUUGUCCGGAUUUAUUGGGCGUAAAGAGUUCGUAGGUGGUUCGUUAAGUCUGAUGUUAAAGACUGGGGCUCAACCCUGGGAGUGCAUUGGAUACUGGCGGACUGGAGUGCAGUAGAGGCAAGCGGAAUUCCAGGUGUAGCGGUGAAAUGCGUAGAUAUCGGAAGGAACACCGGUGGCGAAAGCGGCGCGCUGGAUCCCUACUGACGCUGAGGCACGAAAGCCAGGGGAGCAAACGGGG
rnacentral:rRNA from 1 species